GACGAACGCUGGCGGCGUGCUUAACACAUGCAAGUCGAACGGACAGGCCCUGCUUUUGUGGGGUGCUCGAUUGGCGAACGGGUGAGUAACACGUGAGUAACCUCCCCUUGACUUUGGGAUAACUUCAGGAAACUGGGGCUAAUACCGGAUAGGAUCUCCUGCUGCAUGGUGGGGGUUGGAAAGUUUCGGCUGUUGUGGAUGGACUCGCGGGUUAUCAGCUUGUUGGUGGGGUAGUGGCUGACCAAGCCUUCGGCGGGUAGGCGGCCUUGGAGGGUGACCGGCCACAUUGGGACUGAGAUACGGACCAGAAUCCUACGGGAGGCAGCAGGGGGGAAUCUUGCGCAAUGGGCGGAAGCCUGAUGCAGCAACGCCGCGUGCGGGAUGACGGCUUUCGGGUUGUAAACCGCUUUCGACUGUGACGAAGCGUGAGUGACGGUAAUGGGUAAAGAAGCACCGGCUAACUACGUG
rnacentral:rRNA from 1 species